rnacentral:tRNA from 2 species
GGGGCCUUAGCUCAGUUGGUAGAGCACCGGCUUUGCAAGCCGGGUGUCAGGGGUUCGAAUCCCCUAGGCUCCAC